rnacentral:tRNA from 1 species
GGAGGCUUAGCUCAGCUGGUUCAGAGCAUCUGCCUUACAAGCAGAGGGUCAUAGGUUCGAAUCCUAUAGCCUCCACCA